AUGGCUGAUGGUCCAGACAUGAGGAAGGAGUUUGCAUCAGUCGUGUGGAUGCAGCUCAGCAGCAUGUUUGCAGCAGCGGUUUGUGUCUCAGUUCUUAUCCGGUCCGCUCUCUCGGUUUCCAUCCUCCAGUCUGAGGAUCUGUUCUCCCAGCCUGGAGUCUCCGCGGCCUUGCUGUGUCAAACGGGUCCGGGCUUCAGCAUGAGCAGCUACAAUAUGCUCUGGUACCGACAGAACCGAGCCGGAGCUCAAAUCCAUCUGCUGCUGACCGAAUACGAACAAACGGUGGACCACUUCAGGGCGUCCAUCGAUGGAUCCAAGAACAACUUCACGCUUCAAAUAACGAAUGUUUCUGUGGACGACAGCAGCAAAUACUUCUGUGCUGCUCGUCACAGUGAUGCAGUCUGA